GGCUCCAUAGUUCAGCUGGUUAGAAUACACGCCUGUCACGCGUGAGGUCGGGGGUUCGAUUCCCUCUGGAGUCGCCA
rnacentral:tRNA from 1 species